ensembl:lncRNA RMDN2-AS1 RMDN2 antisense RNA 1
UCUCAUCAUGGCCACUUAGCUUGCUCGAGAUUACACAGAACCAUGCCUCUGGUUUCCUGGUACAGUGCUCCGGCAGGUGACGGAUGCUCCUGGGUGACAUAUCACGGAUCUCUCUGAGGUAAGACGUGCCUUUUGCCUUCCACCUUCUGCCGUGAUUGUGAGGACCCGCCAGCCACGUGGAACUGUGAGUCCAUUAAACUUCUUUUUCUUUAUAAAUUAUCUAGUGGUGGGUAUGUCUUUAUCAGCAGCAUGAAAACGGACUAAUACACUAUCUCUUGUGCCUGAUCUGCUAGGCUUCCCCACCUCCUGCCCCACCCUCCCCUCCACUCUCCCUGCUCCCUAGUCCUCCUCUCCCUCUUUCUCCACUCUCUCCUUGUCACAUCAUAUCUGAGGGUAGAAAUUACUUUCAGUUUUUUUUUUUUUUUAAAGGAAACUUAGGAACACGUGAAAUGUUUUUCUUCUUCUUGAGUUGUUUAAUUUGGUUUAACAAAUGUUAAUUGAGCACAGGCUGCCAGGCAGGAGAUACAAAGGUAAAUAAUAUGAGGUCCUUGUCCUCACGUUAUUGAAGAUCUUAGGGUAGGUCAAACUAAACGAAGAUGCAAAAAAAUGCUCCAGGGCUUUGAGGUGGGUGAGAGCACAACUGGCUAUGUGGAUCAGAAGGUUUUGUGGCAAAACUUCCAUCCCUUGGCCCAG